AGUGAACGCUGGCGGCAGGCCUAACACAUGCAAGUCGAGCGGCAGCGCGGGGGCAACCCUGGCGGCGAGCGGCGGACGGGUGAGGAAUUCGUCGGAAUCUGCCUUUUUGUGGGGGAUAACGUAGGGAAACUUACGCUAAUACCGCAUACGUCCUACGGGAGAAAGUGGGGGACCGCAAGGCCUCACGCAGAAAGAUGAGCCGACGACCGAUUAGCUAGUUGGUGGGGUAAAGGCCCACCAAGGCGACGAUCGGUAGCUGGUCUGAGAGGAUGAUCAGCCACACUGGGACUGAGACACGGCCCAGACUCCUACGGGAGGCAGCAGUGGGGAAUAUUGGACAAUGGGCGCAAGCCUGAUCCAGCCAUGCCGCGUGUGUGAAGAAGGCCUUCGGGUUGUAAAGCACUUUUGUCCGGAAAGAAAUCCCUGGAGCUAGUACCUUCGGGGGAUGACGGUACCGGAAGAAUAAGCACCGGCUAACUUCGUG
rnacentral:rRNA from 1 species